UAGGGAAUCUUCCGCAAUGGGCGAAAGCCUGACGGAGCAACGCCGCGUGAGUGAUGAAGGUCUUCGGAUCGUAAAACUCUGUUAUUAGGGAAGAACAAAUGUGUAAGUAACUAUGCACGUCUUGACGGUACCUAAUCAGAAAGCCACGGCUAACUACGUGCCAGCAGCCGCGGUAAUACGUAGGUGGCAAGCGCUAUCCGGAAUUAUUGGGCGUAAAGCGCGCGUAGGCGGUUUUUUAAGUCUGAUGUGAAAGCCCACGGCUCAACCGUGGAGGGUCAUUGGAAACUGGAAAACUUGAGUGCAGAAGAGGAAAGUGGAAUUCCAUGUGUAGCGGUGAAAUGCGCAGAGAUAUGGAGGAACACCAGUGGCGAAGGCGACUUUCUGGUCUGUAACUGACGCUGAUGUGCGAAAGCGUGGGGAUAAAACAGG
rnacentral:rRNA from 1 species